GAUUAAGCAUAUCAAUAAGCGGAGGAAAAGAAACCAACCGGGAUUGCCCCAGUAACGGCGAGUGAAGCGGCAACAGCUCAAAUUUGAAAUCUGGAGUCCUUGGUGGCUUCCGAGUUGUAAUUUGCAGAGGGAGCCUCGGAGGGCUGGUCGGUCCAAGUGCCUUGGAACAGGAUACCGCAGAGGGUGAGAGUCCCGUAUCCGGCCGACGCAGUGCUCCGUGUGAGGCCUCUUCGACGAGUCGAGUUGUUUGGGAAUGCAGCUCUAAGUGGGUGGUAAAUUCCAUCUAAAGCUAAAUACUGGCCAGAGACCGAUAGCGAACAAGUAGAGUGAUCGAAAGAUGAAAAGCACUUUGAAAAGAGAGUUAAACAGUACGUGAAAUUGUUGAAAGGGAAGCGCAUGGGGGCAGACUUGGGCGCGGGGUUCAGGGUCUCUUUUUUGGAGGCGUGUACUUCCCCGCGGACAGGCCAGCAUCGGUUCUGGGGGCCGGACAAAGGCGAUGGGAACGUGGCUCUCUUCGGGGAGUGUUAUAGCCCGACGUGCAAUGCGGCCACCUGGGACCGAGGACCGCGCUUCGGCAAGGAUGCUGGCGUAAUGGCCUCAUGCGGCCCGUCUUGAAACACGGACCAAGGAGUCUAACAUCUAUGCGAGUGUUUGGGUGGCAAGCCCGGACGCGCAAUGAAAGUGAACGGAGGUGGGAGCCCUUUCCGGCGCGGAGGGGGUGCAGCAUCGACCGAUCCGGACGUUUUCUGAAGGAUUUGAGUAAGAGCAUAGCUGUUGGGACCCGAAAGAUGGUGAACUAUGCGUGAAUAGGGUGAAGCCAGAGGAAACUCUGGUGGAGGCUCGCAGCGGUUCUGACGUGCAAAUCGAUCGUCAAAUUUGCGUAUAGGGCGAAAGACUAAUCGAACUAUCUAGUAGCUGGGUUCCUGCCGAAGUUCCCCCUUCAAGAA
rnacentral:rRNA from 1 species